CCCCCACACCCUCCCCAGAAGCUCCCAGCAAGGAUCUCAGAUGGCACCGGCUUCCCCUGGCCAGAGUGCUACAUCUGAUAUGGAAGCCUCGGAGCUCCACUCGUUCGGGAGGCAGUUCCCACGCCAGCACCAAGCUAUGGGCCAGCUGCUUGAGGACCACCAAAUGGCGGGGGCUGGCUGCGUCCCCCGCUGCUCUGGCCCCCGCUACUGCUGCCACCCCCACCUCCGCUCAGGAAACUGAGUUCGGGA